AUGUCUAAGGGACCUGCGGUUGGUAUUGAUCUUGGCACCACCUACUCUUGUGUGGGUGUCUUCCAGCAUGGAAAAGUAGAGAUAAUUGCUAAUGAUCAGGGAAACCAAACCACUCCAAGUUAUGUUGCCUUUACUGACACCGAACGAUUGAUAGGUGAUGCCGCGAAAAAUCAAGUUGCAAUGAACCCCACGAACACAGUUUUUGAUGCCAAGCGUCUGAUUGGACGCAGGUUUGAUGAUGCUGUUGUCCAGUCUGAUAUGAAGCAUUGGCCUUUUGUGGUGGUGAAUGAUGCAGGCAGGCCCAAGGUCCAAGUAGAAUACAAAGGAGAGACAAAAAGUUUCUAUCCAGAGGAGGCUGUUGCUUAUGGUGCAGCUGUCCAGGCGGCCAUCUUAUCUGGUGACAAAUCCGAGAAUGUUCAGGAUUUGCUACUAUUGGAUGUCACUCCUCUUUCUCUGGGUAUUGAGACUGCUGGUGGAGUUAUGACUGUGCUCAUUAAGCGCAAUACCACUAUUCCAACCAAGCAGACACAGACCUUCACUACCUACUCUGACAACCAGCCAGGUGUGCUCAUCCAGGUUUAUGAAGGUGAGCGUGCCAUGACCAAGGAUAACAACUUGCUUGGCAAGUUUGAACUUACAGGCAUACCUCCUGCUCCCCGUGGUGUUCCUCAGAUUGAAGUCACUUUUGAUAUUGAUGCCAAUGGCAUUCUCAAUGUCUCUGCUGUGGAUAAGAGUAUAGGAAAAGAAAAUAAGAUUACCAUCACUAACGACAAGGGACGUUUGAGCAAGGAAGACAUUGAACGUAUGGUCCAGGAAGCUGAGAAGUACAAGGCUGAAGAUGAGAAGUAGAGGGACAAGGUUUCAUCAAAGAAUUCACUUGAGUCCUAUGCAUUCAACAUGAAAGCAACUGUUGAAGAUGAGAAACUUCAAGGCAAGAUCAAUGAUGAAGACAAACAGAAGAUUCUUGACAAGUGUAAUGAAAUUAUCAACUGGCUUGAUAAGAACCAGACUGCAGAGAAGGAAGAAUUUGAACAUCAACAGAAGGAGCUGGAGAAAGUCUGCAACCCCAUCAUUACCAAGUUGUACCAGAGUGCAGGCGGAAUGCCAGGGGGCAUGCCAGGAGGAAUGCCUGGGGGCUUUCCUGGUGGUGGUGCUCCUCCUUCUGGUGGUGCUUCCUCUGGCCCCACCAUUGAAGAGGUUGAUUAAGCCAACCCAAGUGUAGAUAUAGCAUUGUUCCACACAGUAAAACAUUGAAGGAUCCAAAUUUGUAGCAAAUUAUGUGGCAGAUUUAAGGUUGGGCUGCUAUAGUGAAUUACUGGGCAUUUUCAAUACUUGAAUAUGGAACAUGUGCACAGGGGAAGGAAGUAACAUUGCACUUUAAAAGCACUGUAUUGUAAGUGGAAAAUGCAAUGUCUUAAAUAAAGCUGUAUUUAAAAUUGGAAAAAAAAAA